rnacentral:rRNA from 1 species
UGAGUAACACGUGGGCAAUCUGCCCUGCACUUCGGGAUAAGCCUGGGAAACUGGGUCUAAUACCGGAUAGGACCUUUAGACGCAUGUCUUUUGGUGGAAAGCUUUUGCGGUGUGGGAUGGGCCCGCGGCCUAUCAGCUUGUUGGUGGGGUGAUGGCCUACCAAGGCGACGACGGGUAGCCGGCCUGAGAGGGUGUCCGGCCACACUGGGACUGAGAUACGGCCCAGACUCCUACGGGAGGCAGCAGUGGGGAAUAUUGCACAAUGGGCGCAAGCCUGAUGCAGCGACGCCGCGUGGGGGAUGACGGCCUUCGGGUUGUAAACCUCUUUCACCAUCGACGAAGGUCCGGGUUUUCUCGGAUUGACGGUAGGUGGAGAAGAAGCACCGGCCAACUACGUGCCAGCAGCCGCGGUAAUACGUAGGGUGCGAGCGUUGUCCGGAAUUACUGGGCGUAAAGAGCUCGUAGGUGGUUUGUCGCGUUGUUCGUGAAAUCUCACGGCUUAACUGUGAGCGUGCGGGCGAUACGGGCAGACUAGAGUACUGCAGGGGAGACUGGAAUUCCUGGUGUAGCGGUGGAAUGCGCAGAUAUCAGGAGGAACACCGGUGGCGAAGGCGGGUCUCUGGGGCAGUAACUGACGCUGAGGAGCGAAAGCGUGGGGGAGCGAACAGGAUUAGAUACCCCUGGUAGUCCACGCCCGUAAACGGUGGGUACUAGGUGUGGGGUUUCCUUCCUUGGGGAUCCCGUGCCGUANCUAACGCAUUUAAGUACCCCCGCCUGGGGGAGUACGGCCGCAAAGGCUAAAAACUCAAAGGGAAUUUGACGGGGGGCCCCGCACAA